AGUGAACGCUGGCGGUAGGCCUAACACAUGCAAGUCGAACGGCAGCACAGUAAGAGCUUGCUCUUACGGGUGGCGAGUGGCGGACGGGUCAGGUAUGCUUCGGAAUCUACUUUUUCGUGGGGGCUAACGUAGGGAAACUUACGCUAAUACCGCAUACGUCCUACGGGUGAAAGCAGGGGAUCUUCAGACCUUGCGCGAUUGAAUGAGCCGAUGUUGGAUUAGCUAGCUGGCGGGGUAAAGGCCCACCAAGGCCACGAUCGGUAGCUGGUCUGAGAGGAUGAUCAGCCACACUGGGACUGGGACACGGCCCAGACUCCUACGGGAGGCAGCAGUGGGGAAUAUUGGAAAAUGGGCGAAAGCCUGAUCCAGCAAUGCCGCGUGAGUGAUGAAGGCCUUAGGGAUGUAAAGCUCUUUUACCCGGGAUGAUAAUGACAGUACCGGGAGAAUAAGCUCCGGCUAACUCCGUG
rnacentral:rRNA from 1 species